rnacentral:lncRNA from 1 species
GAAUUCAAAAAUAUGUUCCGAAAAUUGAAAUCCAAAUUAUUUUAGAUAAAAGUUUCAAAAAUAAUUUUUCCCAUUUUUGUGUAAGGUUAUUUUCGUCAUUUAGGAGGGGUAUUUUUGUCAUUUUCUAGAGCUGAUUGGGUGGGGUAUUUUUGUCAUUUUCUAGAGCUGAUUGGGUGCAUGCUGAAAUUGAUAUGGUGGAGGGAGAAAUUGCCAAA